AUUGUUUGGAAACCAACUUGGCGAUCCUUGGAGUGAAGACCUUGCUUAGUGGAUUGGCUGAACUUCAAGAUAAAACAGCAGUGCUGCAUGGAAACUCUGAACAGAUCCACUUCUCUCCAGUUAACAUUGUGAUCAAAGAGUUAGACUUAGGUGGAAACGGCAUUGGCAGUGAUGGCCUGAGGGUGCUGGCCACUUUUAUGAGGUAUCAUUCCCACCUUCAGUAUCUGGGCCUGGCACAGACACCCUGCUCAGACAUGGAGGCUUGGACAGAUCAAAUAAGACCUUGAGGAAGGUAGACUUAGAUAAUAAUGGUUUUGGCGAGGUUGGAGAACAGUAUCUCCUGGAGGCAUUACGCUCCGGGGGAAAAUGUUCCCUUGAGCACCUCAGCCUGGAGGGGAACUACAUCAGCAUCGCACUGAUGGUCAACAUACAGCAGGAGCUCGAAUCUAACAGACCAGCUGCUCUGUAAACUGAGAUGUAUCAUCAAUUAACUUGUGCUUUACAACUCAAACUGCAGGCGGGAUGUACAGUAAAUAAGCCUGACGUCUUCAGAGUAGGACAGAGGGAAGGAACUUUGUGGCCAGCAUGUGGGUGGCUUCCAAUUAUUCUUAAUGAAUUGCUUUAUUCAGUAAUCCAUCUUCUUGGGAGUUUAAACAGUGGAGGCAAAACUUCAGAGAAAUAUUUGCUUGGGCUUUUGACCUGGUCUUUGCGCCACAAGCCAACAGAUUCUCCCACUCAUGUCUUUGAAGUCUGUGAAUUGUACGUGCAUCUGGAAGGUGAGAUGUUAAUAUUGGUUCAGUGUAAUUUGAGAAAUACAAUUUAUUGGAUGAUAUGUUUUUAUGAAGGCCCAGAGGAUGCCAAAUCUGAGGAGGAAAACUUACAAAAACAGGUAAUCUUAACUUAAUUAAUUGCUUAAAUGUCUAUCCUGCAAAUCAAAUCCAAUGCCAUGACAGAAGUGCUGAGCAAUUCUGAUGAAGUGGAGCAACUAAUACUGAGAAACACAGGUCUGACUGAUGAACUGCUCAAGAGUUUGGCAAUGGCGCUCAAGAGAAGCCCAUCCGAAGUCACAGUGAUUAACCUUAAUCUGAACCAAAUCGGACCUCCUGGAGUCAAUGUUUUACUAGACCUUCUUCAGGCCAAACCACAGAUCAAAGAACUACUAUUGUUUGGAAACCAACUUGGCGAUCUUGGAGUACAGAGCCUGCUUAGUGGAUUGGCUGAACUUCAAGAUAAAACAGCAGCGCUGCGUGGAAACUCUGAACCGAUCCACUUCUCUCCAGUUAGCAUUGUGAUCAAAGAGUUAGACCUAGGUGGAAACGGCAUUGGCAGCGAGGGCCUGAGGGUGCUGGCCACUUUCAUGAGGUAUCAUUCCCAUCUUCAGUAUCUGGGCCUGGCACAGACAUCAUGUUCUGACAUGGAUGCUUGGAUAGUCUUGUUUGAAAGCCUGAAAGUGAACACUACGCUGACACACAUCAUCUUAGAUGAAAGCAACCUUGGGGACAAUGGUAUCAAGCUGUUUGCUGAGGCACUCAGAUCAAAUAAGACCCUGAGGAAGGCAGACUUGGAUAAUAACAGUUUCGGCGAGGUUGGAGGACAUUAUCUCCUGGAGGCUCUACGCUCUGGGGGAAAACGUUCCCUUGAGAACCUCAGCCUGGAGGGGAACUACAUCAGCACCGCACUGAUGGCCAACAUACAGCAGGAGCUCGAAUCUAACAGACCAGCUCUGUAAACUGAGAUGUAUCAUCAAUUAACUUGUGCUUUACAACUCAAACUUCUGGCGGGAUGUACAGUAAAUAAGCCUGAUGUCUUCAGUGCAGGACAGAGGGAAAAACUUUGUGGCCAGCACAUGGGUGGCUUCCAGUAACUCUAAAUGAAUUGCUUUAUUCUGUGAUCCAUCUAUUUGGGAGUUUAAACAGUGGAGGCAAAACUUUAGAGAAAUAUUUGCUUGGGCUCUUAAAGCGGUCUUUUACGCCACAAACCAACAGAUGCUCCCACUCAUGUCUUUGAAGCUUGUGAAUUGUCCGUGCAUCUGAAAGGUGAGAUGUUCAUUUUGGUUUGGGGAAAUUUGAGAAAGACCUUUUUUUGGAUGAUAUGUAGAAGGAGUUACACCGCACUCACGAUCACCAAGGUGCCAGACAAACAAGACUGAAAAUCUCAAAAAAUAAACUGUCUGCACACUUGAAUCCUUGUCA
ensembl:lncRNA